UUAAAUGGCUGCAGUAUAACUGACUGUACAAAGGUAGCAUAAUAAAUUGAUUUUUAAAUGAAAUCUGGAAUGAAAGGAUUAAUGAAAUAUAUACUGUCUCAUAUUUAUUUUAUGAAUUUAAAAUUUUAAUAAAAAUGUUAAAAUUUUUUUAUGGGACGAUAAGACCCUAUAGAAUUUUAUAUAAUUUAAUUUUGUAUUAUAAAAUAUAAAAUUUAAUUUAAUAUUUAAUUGGGAGAAUUAUUAAAUUUAAUAAAUUUUAAUUUAAUAUAAACUUUAAUUUAAGAAAAUAUUUUGAUCUAUAAUUUAUAAUUAUUAGAUUAAAUUACCUUAGGGAUAACAGCGUAAUAUUUUUUUAUAGAUCACAUAGAAAAAAAUGAUUGCGACCUCGAUGUUGAAUUAAGAUAAAUUUUAAAUGUAGUUG
rnacentral:rRNA from 1 species